AAACCAUGAUGAGGGAAUUUCCUCAAAAGGUCCUUGAACCUUUCAUGUGCUUCAAAAAGUGUUUUAGAAUCACCUUGCCCGAAUGCAAAAAUCUCUUAUCUUAGUCU